rnacentral:rRNA from 1 species
AUUGAACGCUGGCGGCAUGCCUUACACAUGCAAGUCGAACGGCAGCACGGGUGCUUGCACCUGGUGGCGAGUGGCGAACGGGUGAGUAAUACAUCGGAACAUGUCCUGUAGUGGGGGAUAGCCCGUCGAAAGCCGGAUUAAUACCGCAUACGAUCUACGGAUGAAAGCGGGGGACCUUCGGGCCUCUCGCUAUAGGGUUGGCCGAUGGCUGAUUAGCUAGUUGGUGGGGUAAAGGCCUACCAAGGCGACGAUCAGUAGCUGGUCUGAGAGGACGACCAGCCACACUGGGACUGAGACACGGCCCAGACUCCUACGGGAGGCAGCAGUGGGGAAUUUUGGACAAUGGGCGAAAGCCUGAUCCAGCAAUGCCGCGUGUGUGAAGAAGGCCUUCGGGUUGUAAAGCACUUUUGUCCGGAAAGAAAUCCUUGGCCCUAAUACGGUCGGGGGAUGACGGUACCGGAAGAAUAAGCACCGGCUAACUACGUG